AACGAACGCUGGCGGCAUGCCUAACACAUGCAAGUCGAACGAGACCUUCGGGUCUAGUGGCGCACGGGUGCGUAACGCGUGGGAACCUGCCCUUAGGUUCGGAAUAACUCCCCGAAAGGGGUGCUAAUACCGGAUAAUGUCUUCGGACCAAAGAUUUAUCGCCUUUGGAUGGGCCCGCGUUGGAUUAGCUAGUUGGUAGGGUAAAAGCCUACCAAGGCGACGAUCCAUAGCUGGUCUGAGAGGAUGAUCAGCCACACUGGGACUGAGACACGGCCCAGACUCCUACGGGGGGCAGCAGUGGGGAAUUUUGGAAAGGGGGCGAAAGCCUGAUCCAGCAAUGCCGGGGGGGGGAUGAAGGCCUUGGGGUUGUAAAGCUUUUUUACCCGGGAUGAUAAGGACAGUACCGGGAAAAUAAGCCCCGGCUAACUCCGU
rnacentral:rRNA from 1 species